CACGCGAAAGUCUCCUUCGGGAGGCAAGUAGAGUGGCGAAAGGGCGAGUAAUGCAUGGGUAACGUACCCCCAGCACGGGGAUAGCCGCGGGAAACUGCGGGUAAUACCCGAUGAGACCACGGUGCCACAUGGCACAGCGGUCAAAGGGCGGGGAUCCCUUCGGGGACCUGCCGGCUGGUGAGCGGCCCAUGUCCUAUCAGCUUGUUGGUGAGGUAAAGGCUCACCAAGGCUAUGACGGGUAGCGGGACUGAGAGGUUGAUCCGCCGCAUUGGGACUGAGACACUGCCCAGACUCCUACGGGAGGCUGCAGUAACGAAUAUUGGACAAUGAGCGCAAGCUUGAUCCAGCAAUGCCGCGUGGGAAGAAGCUCUUCGGGGUGUAAACCACUGUCAGGGAUUACCAAGCGAUGAGGGCCAAUACCCCUCAAAGUUGAGGAGUCCCACAGGAAGCCACGGCUAACUUCGUGCCAGCAGCCGCGGUAAGACGAAGGUGGCUAGCGUUGUUCGGAAUCACUGGGCUUAAAGAGCACGUAGGCGGUCCAUCAAGCGUUUUGUGAAAUCCCUCGGCUCAACCGAGGAAUUGCUUGGCGAACUGAUGGACUUGAGGCAGGCAGGGGCGAGUGGAACUCUUGGUGGAGCGGUGGAAUGCGUAGAUAUCAAGAGGAACGCCAGAGGCGAAGGCGACUCGCUGGGCCUGUCCUGACGCUGAGGUGCGAAAGCCAGGGGA
rnacentral:rRNA from 1 species